AUACUGAAUUUGGUGGAAAAUCAAUGUGAAAUUCAUUAAUUCUUCCUGGAACCGUUAAAGUCGGAGCACCACCCUGUAGAGUCCGGUGUUGAAUGAUGAACAGGAAAAUUCUAGUUCUACAAUUUUAAU
rnacentral:ncRNA from 10 species